AUCAAGCUGACGGGUCCCAAAUAGAACUAAACGGUCGUCUUGGAU
rnacentral:hammerhead_ribozyme from 1 species